rnacentral:rRNA from 1 species
CUCGUCCUACGGGGGGCAGCAGUGAGGAAUAUUGGUCAAUGGCCGAGAGGCUGAACCAGCCAAGUCGCGUGAGGGAAGACGGCCCUACGGGUUGUAAACCUCUUUUGUCGGGGAGCAAAGCGAGUCACGUGUGACUCAUUGAGAGUACCCGAAGAAAAAGCAUCGGCUAACUCCGUGCCAGCAGCCGCGGUAAUACGGAGGAUGCGAGCGUUAUCCGGAUUUAUUGGGUUUAAAGGGUGCGUAGGCGGUUCGAUAAGUUAGAGGUGAAAUCCCGGGGCUCAACUCCGGCACUGCCUCUGAUACUG